rnacentral:rRNA from 1 species
AUUGAACGCUGGCGGCAUGCUUUACACAUGCAAGUCGAACGGUAACAGGCCUUCGGGUGCUGACGAGUGGCGAACGGGUGAGUAAUGCAUCGGAACGUGCCCAGAGGUGGGGGAUAACGCAGCGAAAGCUGUGCUAAUACCGCACGUGAUCUGAGGAUGAAAGCGGGGGACCAAGCAGCAAUGUUUGGCCUCGCGCCUCAGGAGCGGCCGAUGUCAGAUUAGGUAGUUGGUGGGGUAAAGGCCUACCAAGCCGACGAUCUGUAGCUGGUCUGAGAGGACGACCAGCCACACUGGGACUGAGACACGGCCCAGACUCCUACGGGAGGCAGCAGUGGGGAAUUUUGGACAAUGGGCGCAAGCCUGAUCCAGCAAUGCCGCGUGCGGGAAGAAGGCCUUCGGGUUGUAAACCGCUUUUGUACGGAACGAAAAGGCUCUGGCUAAUACCUGGGGCUGAUGACGGUACCGUAAGAAUAAGCACCGGCUAACUACGUG